rnacentral:rRNA from 1 species
CCAAUAGCGUAUAUUAAAGUUGUUGCAGUUAAAAAGCCCGUAGUUGAACUUCAGGCCUGUCCAGAUGGUCCGCCUUAAUUGGUGUGUACUGUCCUUGGGUGGGUCCUACCUUCUGGCGAAGCGGCAUGGCCUUAAUUGGUUGUGUUGGGGAACCAGGACUUUUACUGUGAAAAAAUUAGAGUGUUCAAAGCAGGCAAAUAUGCUCGAAUACAUUAGCAUGGAAUAAUGGAAUAGGACGAUGGUUCUAUUUUGUUGGUUCUAGGACCGUUGUAAUGAUUAAUAGGGAUAGUUGGGGGCAUUAGUAUUCAAUUGUCAGAGGUGAAAUUCUUGGAUUUAUUGAAGACUAACUACUGCGAAAGCAUUUGCCAAGGAUGUUUUCAUUAAUCAAGAACGAAAGUUAGGGGAUCGAAGACGAUCAGAUACCGUCGUAGUCUUAACCAUAAACUAUGCCGACUAGGAAUCGGGCGAUGUUGACAAAAUGACUCGCUCGGCACCUCAUG